UGAGGAAUAUUGGUCAAUGGACGAGAGUCUGAACCAGCCAAGUCGCGUGAAGGAUGACGGUCCUAUGGAUUGUAAACUUCUUUUGUGCAGGAAUAAAGUGUCCCGUGCGCGGGAUUUUGUAUGUACUGUACGAAUAAGCAUCGGCUAACUCCGUGCCAGCAGCCGCGGUAAUACGGAGGAUGCGAGCGUUAUCCGGAUUUAUUGGGUUUAAAGGGUGCGUAGGCGGGAUUUUAAGUCAGUGGUGAAAGUUUGCAGCUUAACUGUAAAAUUGCCAUUGAAACUGAAGUUCUUGAGUGCAAAUGAGGUAAGCGGAAUGUGUUGUGUAGCGGUGAAAUGCAUAGAUAUAACACAGAACCCCGAUUGCGAAGGCAGCUUACUGGGAUGCAACUGACGCUGAUGCACGAAAGCGUGGGUAUCAAACA
rnacentral:rRNA from 1 species